rnacentral:rRNA from 1 species
AAAGGGUAGCAAUACCUGAGUAAAGUGGCGUACGGGUGAGUAACACGUGGAUCAUCUGCCCUUUGGUGGGGAAUAACUCUGGGAAACCGGAGCUAGUACCGCAUAAGUCCGAGAGGAGAACGCAGCAAUGCGCCGAAGGAGGAGUCCGCGGCUGAUUAGCUAGUUGGUAGGGUAAUGGCCUACCAAGGCGACGAUCGGUAGCCGGCCUGAGAGGGCACACGGCCACACUGGCACUGAGACACGGGCCAGACUCCUACGGGAGGCAGCAGUGGGGAAUCUUGCACAAUGGGGGAAACCCUGAUGCAGCGACGCCGCGUGAGUGAUGAAGCCCUUCGGGGUGUAAAGCUCUUUCGACGGGAACGAUAAUGACGGUACCCGGAGAAGAAGCUGCGGCUAACUACGUGCCAGCAGCCGCGGUAAUACGUAGGCAGCAAGCGUUGUUCGGAAUUACUGGGCGUAAAGAGUACGUAGGUGGUUUGCCAAGUCCGAUGUGAAAUCUCCUGGCUUAACUGGGAGGGUGCGUUAGAUACUGGCAGGCUUGAGUGUGGGAGAGGAGAGCGGAAUUCCUGGUGUAGCGGUGAAAUGCGUAGAUAUCAGGAGGAACGCCUGUGGUGUAGACGGCUCUCUGGACCAUUACUGACACUGAGGUACGAAAGCGUGGGUAGCAAACAGGAUUAGAUACCCUGGUAGUCCACGCCCUAAACGAUGCAUACUUGGUGUGGGCAGUUCAGUCUGUCCGUGCCGGAGCUAACGCGUUAAGUAUGCCGCCUGGGGAGUACGGUCGCAAGGCUGAAACUC